UAUUCUGACCUUUAAAAACAAAAAAGAUCUUCUUUCUUCCCUCGAUACACGCUUUACUUCCGCCACUUACAAAUCUAGCAGCCACGGAACGGCGAUCGCUCAUCACCGGCAUCGUCAAACUCCAGGAGUUGAGCCAAGCGAAACUUUCGCUUGUUUCAUUGCCGUACUGCAAAGAAACAAACAACAAGAAGAAAUUAAUCAGAAGUAAAUUCGCUUUUUUAUUUUCCUAAAGUAAUUUCUACUAUGGGAAAAAAGAAAACAGAAGAGGUUGGUUUAGCAGCAAAAGCAAAGACAAGCAACAAAGAUGGAAAGAAAGAGAAAAUAUCUGUUGCAGCCAUGCUUGCCGGCAUGGACCAGAAACCUGACAAGCCUAAAAAGGGGUCAACUUCAUUGAGCACUGCUAAGGCUAAGGCUCCAAAAGUUACAUCUUAUACUGAUGGGAUUGAUCUCCCUCCUUCUGAUGGAGAGGAUGAUUAUGGCUCUGAGGAUGAGCAAAAACAGCAGUCUGAGAUCAGAAGACAGUCAAAUAGACUGCAAAGGGAUGAUCCAAAGCCACUUGAAAUCUCUGUGACAGACAAAGAACUUAAGAAACGAGAAAAGAAGGACUUGCUUGCUGCACAUGUGGCAGAGCAGGCAAAAAAAGAGGCCCUUAAGGAUGACCAUGAUGCUUUCACUGUUGUUAUUGGUAGCCGAGCUUCAGUUCUUGAAGGUGAAGAUGAAGCAGAUGCUAAUGUCAAGGAUAUUACUAUCGAUAAUUUCUCUGUGGCAGCGCGGGGUAAAGAACUCUUAAAGAAUGCAUCGGUCAAGAUAUCUCAUGGAAAGAGAUAUGGUUUGGUUGGGCCCAAUGGGAUGGGGAAAUCUACGUUGUUAAAACUUCUUGCUUGGAGGAAGAUUCCUGUUCCUAAAAAUAUAGAUGUGCUUCUGGUAGAACAAGAGGUGGUUGGAGAUGAUAAAUCUGCUCUUGAAGCAGUUGUUUCAGCUAAUGAAGAGCUUAUCAAGAUUCGGCAAGAAGUAACGUCUUUGCAGGAUUCAACUUCAGCUGUUGAUGAUGACGAUGAUAGUGAAGAUGUAAAUGGAAAUGAUGUGGGAGAGAAGCUUGCUGAAUUGUAUGAGAAAUUGCAGAUCUUAGGGUCAGAUGCUGCUGAGGCUCAGGCAUCAAAAAUUCUAGCUGGACUGGGCUUCACUAAGGAAAUGCAAGGCCGUCCUACUCGAUCAUUCAGUGGUGGCUGGAGGAUGAGAAUUUCGCUCGCUAGGGCACUUUUUGUGCAGCCAACUCUUUUGUUGUUGGAUGAACCAACUAACCACCUUGACCUCAGGGCAGUUCUAUGGUUGGAGGAGUACCUGUGCAGGUGGAAGAAAACUCUUGUUGUUGUUUCUCAUGAUAGAGAUUUCCUUAAUACAGUAUGCAAUGAAAUUAUUCAUCUUCAUGACUUGAAGCUUCAUGUCUACCGUGGAAAUUUUGAUGAUUUUGAAAGUGGAUAUGAGCAGCGUCGAAAAGAGAUGAACAAGAAGUUUGAGAUUUAUGAUAAGCAGGUUAAAGCUGCCAGGAGGUCAGGAAGUCGUGCUCAGCAGGAAAAAGUUAAAGACCGUGCGAAGUUUGCUGCUGCCAAGGAAGCAUCAAAGAACAAGGCAAAGGGCAAGGUCGAUGAAGAUGAAGCCCUCCCAGAGGCUCCAAAGAAGUGGAAAGAUUACAGUGUGGAGUUCCACUUCCCUGAACCUACAGAGCUGACACCACCACUUUUGCAGCUGAUUGAAGUCAGCUUUAGUUACCCUAAUCGAGAUGAUUUCAGGCUAUCGAAUGUUGAUGUGGGCAUUGAUAUGGGAACUCGUGUUGCCAUUGUUGGUCCCAAUGGAGCUGGAAAAUCUACUCUGCUAAAUCUUCUUGCUGGGGAUUUAGUUCCUAGUGAAGGUGAGGUGAGAAGAAGUCAGAAAUUGCGGAUUGGGAGGUACUCACAGCACUUUGUGGACCUAUUAACAAUGGAUGAAACACCUGUUCAGUAUCUGCUUCGUCUUCAUCCGGAUCAGGAGGGACUUAGCAAGCAGGAGGCUGUUCGUGCAAAGCUUGGGAAAUUCGGACUCCCUAGCCAUAAUCACCUCACUCCAAUUGCAAAGCUGUCAGGAGGACAGAAAGCACGUGUUGUAUUCACAUCAAUCUCCAUGUCGAAGCCACACAUAUUGAUGUUGGAUGAGCCAACAAAUCAUUUAGACAUGCAGAGCAUUGAUGCAUUGGCUGAUGCACUAGAUGAGUUCACUGGCGGAGUUGUCUUGGUCAGUCAUGAUUCUAGGCUUAUUUCUCGUGUUUGUGAGGAUGAAGAAAGAAGUGAAAUUUGGGUGGUGGAAAAUGGAACUGUGGAGACUUUUCCUGGCACAUUUGAAGAGUACAAGGAAGAGCUACAAAGGGAAAUUAAAGCAGAAGUUGAUGAUUGAUUUCAGUCCUAUAGAUCUAGAAUUUGUUGCUCCAAUUCAUAAAAUAGUCAGCCAAGUUGUUGUUAUCUUGUAUUCUCAUAUAAGUACAUCAAGAGAGGUAUUAUCCUAGUAAAAAAUAAAGGGAAAGUUCCAAAAAGAAUUCUCAAGUUUGAGAGGGAAAAACUGAAAAGCAAGCAAUUGAAGGAGUUAUUCCUUGAGCUAGCCACUGCUCUUGGGUUGUGUUGUUUCUAAUCAUUCAGUUGCAUUUGGAGAACUUGCUUAUCCUUCAAAUUGGAAAUUUAAAGAUCAAAAUUUUGCCCGGCUAUAUCUUUUUCCAUGGCUUGUAUCAAAUAUUAUGGUUUGGAAUAUUACUGGAUUUGUAUUUAUUUGAGUUACAUUAAAGGGACGGAUAAUUAAUUAAUAUUAUUAAUAACAAAUAUAGCAGUGAGGAUUUCACAUUA